ensembl:lncRNA
UCCCAGUCCUCGAGAGCUACUGCCCUGCAGCUUUUAGAUGCGUCCUUGUUCCAGCACACCUGAAUCAAAUGAAUGGCUCGUUAUCAGGCCUUUGCCAGACUUGAUGGCAUGCCGAAUUGGUAAUCCAACUAUUUGAUUCAGCUGUGUUGGAGUAGGGAUGCAUCUAAAAGCUGCAGGACAGUAGCUCUCGAGGACUGGGAUUGGGCACCCCUGAUGUAGAGAGUCUCUGACACAGCUGUGCUCUGCAGCCCAGACACCCUGCUUAUCUGUGAUUCGGCCAGACUGGUGUUGAACUCCUCCAAAGGCAUGCGCGGGGCAGUGUUACCAACUUAGCGACUUUGUCGCUAUAUUUAGCGAGUUUUCAGACCCCCUUAGCGACUUUUUUUUUCUAAAAAGCGACUAGCGACAAAUCUGGCGACUUUUUCUGGUGUUAUUGGAGACUUAUUUAUGAUGACUUUUUGACGUGAAAGCGCGUAUCACUCUUACUGUUAACAAGCAGCGGUGCUGCCGUGGCCACCUCACCCGUGCCAAAGCGCUCACAGGCGGAGGAUAGUCCUCCCCCAGCUGCUAUCAGGGCAGGACAUGUUCACACCUAUGCGUCCAAACUGCAAAUGAAUCGCGCAUGAGCGAAGCCGCUGCUCCCACACUGACUGUAAGGCAGUCAGAUCUUAUUUUACUGUUAUGCUGUUUUGUGGAUCACAAGCUUUAAAACUACUUAUAAACACACACACACACACACAAAGUAACUCCACCAGAGUGCCAAUUUCGGGUCACUUUUGCCGGUCCAAGCCCGAAUAAAGGAGCAGGGUUGGAAUUGGAAGUGCUGACCAGCUGACUGAUGUCCUAGCGGGCAUCUUUAACAUCUCCGAACAGCUGAUCGGCAAGCUGGACGUGCUUUGACUUAACACCUCCACCUGCAACUGGAUCCUGGAGCUUGAUUUCACACAGCCUGCUGCACAGUCCAUCACCCAGCCACCGCUACACAGGCUGAUUGGCAGGGAGAAGACCAUUGUUUUUAUGGCACACUCCUACCCACACUGGAAUUGCUGAUGACCAAGACUCUGGCUAUAAAAAAUGGUCUGCAAAUCCUUGUUGGGCUACCAGAUGCAGUUAUCCAGGUAAGAGAUGAUAUUUUCAUUUUUGUUUAUCUUUAAUUAAAUUUAUUACUCAAUUGCUUUUUAUAUUGUGCUGUGCUGUUGUGUCACAUGCAAGUGAAUGCUGUUUAGGGCUGCCACGAUUAGUCGACUAGUCAUGAUUACGUCGACUAUCAAAAUCAUCGAAGACAAAUUUAAUAGUCGACGUGUCGUUUAAAGCCUUGUAAGAUCCUGAAAGAUGCAGGAAUAAGUAGAAGGAUUUAAGAGUGUAAUAACGGACUGAAACAGAAGAUGGCAGCACUGCAUGUACAAGGAUGCCAGCUGCCGUUAAACCCCGAAGAAGAAGAAGCAACUCCGGUAUCGCUGGGCGUUUCUCAAUAUGCGUACUUGUGCGUACUUGCGUUCUCGUGUACUCGUGAUACGUCAUCAGUCGGAGACCAAGUACUGUUGAAGUACGCAUGAAGCCGAGAACGCGAAAAAGUCCCGGAUGUGUUCUCGCUCCGCCCGUUUUAUCGAGCAUGCAUCGGUGUGGACUUGGUACAGCUAAAUAUCCCAGAAUGCAUUUCGUCCAAAACUCAACAGCAGACUCCCGGCACUUCGUUUUCAACCCCC